rnacentral:misc_RNA from 1 species
AAAGUCGUAACAAGGUUUCCGUAGGUGAACCUGCGGAAGGAUCAUUAUUGAUUUCAAAAUGGGAUGUGCUGGUCUUCCUUUUCAAAGGGGGAGGCAUUUGUGCACUCUCAACCUUGAUAAUCCACCCUGUGCACAUUCUGUAGACGAGGGGAUAACUCAAUCACCUUGUCUACAUUUUUAACACACUCAAUUUAUUAAUGGAUGGUAGUUUGAAAUAUUAAUACAACUUUCAACAAUGGAUCUCUUGGUUCUC